GCCGAGUUAUUAGUUAUUAGGCAAAAGAUUUUUAAUCUUUUUACGGUUAAGUGACC
rnacentral:tRNA from 1 species